GAUGAACGCUGGCGGCGUGCUUAACGCAUGCAAGUCGAACGGAAAGGCUCCUGCUUGCAGGGGUACUCGAGUGGCGAACGGGUGAGUAACACGUGGGUGAUCUGCCCUGCACUUCGGGAUAGGCCUGGGAAACUGGGUCUAAUACCGGAUAGGACCACAUUUUGGAUGGUGUGGUGGAAAGUUUUUCGGUGUGGGAUGAGCUCGCGGCCUAUCAGCUUGUUGGUGGGGUAAUGGCCUACCAAGGCGUCGACGGGUAGCCGGCCUGAGAGGGUGUACGGCCACAUUGGGACUGAGAUACGGCCCAGACUCCUACGGGAGGCAGCAGUGGGGAAUAUUGCACAAUGGGCGCAAGCCUGAUGCAGCGACGCCGCGUGGGGGAUGACGGCCUUCGGGUUGUAAACUCCUUUCGCUAGGGACGAAGCGCAAGUGACGGUACCUGGAGAAGAAGCACCGGCUAACUACGUG
rnacentral:rRNA from 1 species